rnacentral:rRNA from 1 species
UACGUAGGGUCCGAGCGUUGUCCGGAAUUACUGGGCGUAAAGAGCUCGUAGGUGGUUUGUCGCGUUGUUCGUGAAAACUCACAGCUCAACUGUGGGCGUGCGGGCGAUACGGGCAUCACUGGAGUUCGGCAGGGGAGACUGGAAUUCCUGGUGUAGCGGUGAAAUGCGCAGAUAUCAGGAGGAACACCGGUGGCGAAGGCGGGUCUCUGGGCCGAUACUGACGCUGAGGCGCGAAAGCUAGGGUAGCAAACGGG